AAGAAAACCAAAUUUUUCUAGAGGAACUGGAGAGAACAGUCGCUCUACUAGCUUUUGAAGAUGUCAAGAACUGUCCAUAUGGAGAGCUUAUGGACGUGUCACAGCGCUUUAAAACUGCAAGUGAAGUGAACGCAGCAAUAUUAACCAGCCAGAGUCAUGAGAAAGAUCCAAAGCUUCCAAAGUUGCUUAAGACGCUGAUAUGGGCACAGAAUCAGCUU
rnacentral:misc_RNA from 1 species